rnacentral:rRNA from 1 species
UUCGCCCUUAGAGUUUGAUCCUGGCUCAGGACGAACGCUGGCGGCGCGCCUAACACAUGCAAGUCGAACGAGCGAGAGAGAGCUUGCUUUCUCGAGCGAGUGGCGAACGGGUGAGUAACGCGUGAGGAACCUGCCUCAAAGAGGGGGACAACAGUUGGAAACGACUGCUAAUACCGCAUAAGCCCACGGGUCGGCAUCGACCAGAGGGAAAAGGAGCAAUCCGCUUUGAGAUGGCCUCGCGUCCGAUUAGCUAGUUGGUGAGGUAACGGCCCACCAAGGCGACGAUCGGUAGCCGGACUGAGAGGUUGAACGGCCACAUUGGGACUGAGACACGGCCCAGACUCCUACGGGAGGCAGCAGUGGGGAAUAUUGCACAAUGGGGGAAACCCUGAUGCAGCGACGCCGCGUGGAGGAAGAAGGUCUUCGGAUUGUAAACUCCUGUUGUUGGGGAAGAUAAUGACGGUACCCAACAAGGAAGUGACGGCUAACUACGUGCCAGCAGCCGCGGUAAAACGUAGGUCACAAGCGUUGUCCGGAAUUACUGGGUGUAAAGGGAGCGCAGGCGGGAAGACAAGUUGGAAGUGAAAUCUAUGGGCUCAACCCAUAAACUGCUUUCAAAACUGUUUUUCUUGAGUAGUGCAGAGGUAGGCGGAAUUCCCGGUGUAGCGGUGGAAUGCGUAGAUAUCGGGGGGAACACCAGUGGCGAAGGCGGCCUACUGGGCACCAACUGACGCUGAGGCUCGAAAGUGUGGGUAGCAAACAGGAUUAGAUACCCUGGUAGUCCACACCGUAAACGAUGAUUACUAGGUGUUGGAGGAUUGACCCCUUCAGUGCCGCAGUUAACACAAUAAGUAAUCCACCUGGGGAGUACGACCGCAAGGUUGAAACUCAAAGGAAUUGACGGGGGCCCGCACAAGCAGUGGAGUAUGUGGUUUAAUUCGACGCAACGCGAAGAACCUUACCAAGUCUUGACAUCCGCCUGACCGAUCCUUAACCGGAUCUUUCCUUCGGGACAGGCGAGACAGGUGGUGCAUGGUUGUCGUCAGCUCGUGUCGUGAGAUGUUGGGUUAAGUCCCGCAACGAGCGCAACCCCUAUCCUCAGUAGCCAGCAUUUAAGGUGGGCACUCUGGGGAGACUGCCAGGGAUAACCUGGAGGAAGGCGGGGAUGACGUCAAAUCAUCAUGCCCCUUAUGAUUUGGGCUACACACGUGCUACAAUGGCGUAAACAAAGGGAAGCGAGAUCGUGAGAUGGAGCAAAUCCCAAAAAUAACGUCCCAGUUCGGACUGUAGUCUGCAACCCGACUACACGAAGCUGGAAUCGCUAGUAAUCGCGGAUCAGAAUGCCGCGGUGAAUACGCUCCCGGGUCUUGCACACACCGCCCGUCA